CGAAUACGAACCGUGAAAGCGU
rnacentral:snRNA from 1 species